GAUGAACGCUGACAGAAUGCUUAACACAUGCAAGUCUACUUGAACUUCGGUUUGGGUGGCGGACGGGUGAGUAACGCGUAAAGAACUUGCCUCACAGUUAGGGACAACAUUUGGAAACGAAUGCUAAUACCUGAUAUUAUGAUUUUAGGGCAUCCUAGGAUUAUGAAAGCUAUAUGUGCUGUGAGAGAGCUUUGCGUCCCAUUAGCUAGUUGGAGAGGUAACGGCUCACCAAGGCGAUGAUGGGUAGCCGGCCUGAGAGGGUGAACGGCCACAAGGGGACUGAGACAACGCCCAUACCCCCACGGGAGGCAGCAGGUGGGAAUAUUUGACAAUGGACCAAAAGUCUGAUCCAGCAAUUCUGUGUGCACGAUGACGUUUUUCGGAAUGUAAAGUUCUUUCAGUUUGGAAGAAAAAAAUGACGGUACCAACAGAAGAAGUGACGGCUAAAUACGUG
rnacentral:rRNA from 1 species